rnacentral:lncRNA from 1 species
GUUAUGAAUUGCUUAAUUUAAAAAAAUCCCUCAUUGAGAAUGAAGGAUUUAAAAAGCCAUCAAUUUAAAAUACACAUUGAACAUUCUUAUAAUUCAUUAUUUCUUUGCAGCUUCUAACCUGUUGCCUCAUGAAUAGUUGUCUUCAAGGAACAUCCUGUUCCUCAUUCCGUCUUUGCUCCACGUUCUCCAAAUGGCGACACCUAAAGUUCUCUGGACACAAACAUGCAAACAUGAAGUAUUUAAUGGGAAAGGUUUUUGGAGUAAACAGAGAAGAGAAAAGAGAGAAUGUUUCCCUGUUACCGCCGGGAUGUGUUUGUGUUUUUCUUUCCUUGCUGUGGGUGGAACAUUCAAGUGAGACCAAUGACUUGCAACCUCCAGGAAACCUUAUAAAGCUCCCUUUAUUAUUAUUAGCACCUCCAUUUCUCAGGUGAAUUUGGGUGAAGGAGCGAGAGCGUGAAGGAGCGGGGACAACAAGCCGUGAUGAGACCAGGACAGCUUUGUCGUUCCAGGAGCGUCAGGACGGGAUGCAUCAAGCCAAGCAGGGACGGCUUGUCCCACAGGAAACAAACCAUGGGCGCGUCAGCCCUCGAUGGCCGCCCUGCUGCCGGAACCUACGGUGGUCGCUCUCCCGUCAGGCAGAGGAACGAGGACCACUCAUGAGCGAGUGCAGAGAGAUGCUGAAAUGUGCAGUGUCCUCACGACUGGAGGCGGUGUUUAACCAGAUACCACCAGUGACACCAGCCAGCUGGCUGGGAGGAGGGGUGUCUGAGCCGAGGGUGAGGCCGUGAGGCCCCCAGGGUGUUGGUCCACAGGGAGCUCGCAGAUUGAGCACCAGCCUGCACUUGCUAAGUCCAGGGGUGGCCAGUCCACUCUGCCUCCUGCUGAAAAUUAGUCAAUCAACAAACCACAGGGGAAUUGACAUCAGAUAACCUACAGUGUAGUCACUUACCAAAAAACAAUGCCGUUUUCUUGGGGACACUCGGGGGGAAAUGCCAGCCUUCUGCUUCAGGGUGAAGGCCAGCGGUCCACAGAGGGAUGGGAGUGUGAAGCCAGUUUAAAUGGAGACGGGUAAGAAGACUCAGCAACGUUGGAAGAACGUCCUGUGUUUACUCACGACGCGUUGGAUGUGGGAUGCGGUGGAUGCUGUCUUUAGACAAGGAAACUGAGCUCAGAACAAGCUUAGUUUCCCAAAGCCGACAUCGUGGCCAGCCCGUGUGAGGGCAGGAUUGUGCUCCGGGCCGGGCGGCUGUCCUGCUGGCGUUGGUGUGGACGUGGGGCACCUGUGCAGUCCGUGGUCGCCAGCACUGGGAGCCGGGCCCUGCUGUGGACGGCCAGACCACUCCCACUGGAAAGUGGAUCCCACGCUACCAUCGGGGACGAAGGAAGACACCUUGUAGGGAUUGAGUUUUUGAAACAAGACUACGUGACGUG